rnacentral:rRNA from 1 species
CAGUCGCCGCGGGAAUACGAAGGGUGCAAGCGUUACUCGGAAUUACUGGGCGUAAAGCGUGCGUAGGUGGUGGUUUAAGUCCGUUGUGAAAGCCCUGGGCUCAACCUGGGAAUUGCAGUGGAUACUGGGUCACUAGAGCGUGGUAGAGGAUAGUGGAAUUUCCGGUGUAGCAGUGAAAUGCGUAGAGAUCGGAAGGAACAUCUGUGGCGAAGGCGACUAUCUGGGCCAACACUGACACUGAGGCACGAAAGCGUGGGGAGCAAACAGGAUUAGAUACCCCAGUAGUCCCUGUCUCUUAUAC